rfam:Sphingomonas sp. Leaf412 contig_3, whole genome shotgun sequence.
AUGGGAGUCGGGUGGGCGCGGCCGUCGCCAACCCGGUCAGGUCCGGAAGGAAGCAGCCGCAACGAUUUCGUCGCGGGUCGCCCGGCUCCCACCGC